rnacentral:rRNA from 1 species
GAUGAACGCUAGCUACAGGCUUAACACAUGCAAGUCGAGGGGUAACGAGAGGAAAGCUUGCUUUCCUUGUCGACGACCGGCGCACGGGUGAGUAACGCGUAUCCAACCUGCCCCCAACUAGGGAAUAACCUUGCGAAAGUAAGACUACUCUCCUAUAAUUUCCUCAGAUGUCAUCUGACGAGGAAUAAAGAUUUAUCGGUUGUGGAUGGGGAUGCGUCUGAUUAGCUUGUUGGCGGGAUAACGGCCCACCAAGGCAACGAUCAGUAGGGGUUCUGAGAGGAAGGUCCCCCACAUUGGAACUGAGACACGGUCCAAACUCCUACGGGAGGCAGCAGUGAGGAAUAUUGGUCAAUGGGCGGAAGCCUGAACCAGCCAAGUAGCGUGCAGGAUGACGGCCCUAUGGGUUGUAAACUGCUUUUAUACAGGAAUAAAGUUAGCCACGUGUGGUUAUUUGUAGGUACUGUAUGAAUAAGGACCGGCUAAUUCCGUGCCAGCCGCCGCGGUAA